AUUAAACGCUGGCGGCAUGCCUUACACAUGCAAGUCGAACGGCAGCACGGGGCAACCUGGUGGCGAGUGGCGAACGGGUGAGUAAAGCAUCGGAACGUGCCCUGGAGUGGGGGAUAACGUAGCGAAAGUUACGCUAAUACCGCAUAUUCUGUGAGCAGGAAAGCAGGGGAUCGCAAGACCUUGCGCUCUGGGAGCGGCCGAUGUCGGAUUAGCUAGUUGGUGGGGUAAAGGCCUACCAAGGCGACGAUCCGUAGCGGGUCUGAGAGGAUGAUCCGCCACACUGGGACUGAGACACGGCCCAGACUCCUACGGGAGGCAGCAGUGGGGAAUUUUGGACAAUGGGGGCAACCCUGAUCCAGCCAUUCCGCGUGAGUGAAGAAGGCCUUCGGGUUGUAAAGCUCUUUCGGCAGGAACGAAACGGUGAGCUCUAACAUAGCUUGCUAAUGACGGUACCUGAAGAAGAAGCACCGGCUAACUACGUG
rnacentral:rRNA from 1 species